rnacentral:rRNA from 1 species
AGGGAAUCUUCGGCAAUGGACGGAAGUCUGACCGAGCAACGCCGCGUGAGUGAAGAAGGUUUUCGGAUCGUAAAGCUCUGUUGUAAGAGAAGAACGAGUGUGAGAGUGGAAAGUUCACACUGUGACGGUAUCUUACCAGAAAGGGACGGCUAACUACGUGCCAGCAGCCGCGGUAAUACGUAGGUCCCGAGCGUUGUCCGGAUUUAUUGGGCGUAAAGCGAGUGCAGGCGGUUAGAUAAGUCUGAAGUUAAAGGCUGUGGCUUAACCAUAGUACGCUUUGGAAACUGUUUAACUUGAGUGCAAGAGGGGAGAGUGGAAUUCCAUGUGUAGCGGUGAAAUGCGUAGAUAUAUGGAGGAACACCGGUGGCGAAAGCGGCUCUCUGGCUUGUAACUGACGCUGAGGCUCGAAAGCGUGGGGAGCAAACAGGAUUAGAUACCCUGGUAGUCCACGCCGUAAACGAUGAGUGCUAGGUGUUAGACCCUUUCCGGGGUUUAGUGCCGUAGCUAACGCAUUAAGCACUCCGCCUGGGGAGUACGACCGCAAGGUUG